rnacentral:lncRNA from 1 species
GUUCGGUUACAAUUUAAUCGAUUGUGAGUAACAAUCACAAUUUAUAGGUCACAUAUUACAAAUUCAUCAAUUAUUAGUCACGAUCAACCAAAUAAUUAAUCAUAAGCAUCCAACAUUUCUUCCCACCGACAACGACCACCACAUUUAUCAUCACUAUCACCAUUAUCGCUACCACAACAACGAAGCACCGCUACCAACAAAGCUACCACCACCUCAUGACAACGUGUCAACGCUACAACAUAGGAACAUAUUCAUCACCACAAUAGAGAAACGACGCCACCACCAUAGUUGCCGCAGCGACCCAUCACCAUCAACAUCAAUUAUCACAGCAACCGCCGCCACCAUCAGUCACCAUCACAAUUGGUUGCCAUAGUGACCACCACCAUCACCAUCAGUCACCCACAACCACAACCACUAUCACCUCACCACCACAGCCACCAAACAAAAAUUGAAUGUAAAGAAUUGAAUACCACACUACUGAAUCGCCACCACCACUGCACCCACGGUACCGCGCCACCACCACACCGUACACCUCCACCUCCACCAAACUGCCAACCACGCU